CAAUGUUUUGGUAGUACCUAAAGAAAUUAUUACAACAUCACAUUUCUUCAGGGAAUACCUCAAGAUGAGGAGAACAUCCCAUGGGAAAACAGACUGGGUUGAUGUUCAGUGGAAAGGAGGAGUAAUGCCCCACCCACUGCAAAAGGAUGGUUGCAGUUGUGGUGUUAUUGUUGUCGAAAUGGCCAGAGCAGUAAUGGAAGCCUUCCCUCAGUUGCCCAAAAUGCAAUUUGAAACCUCCAAGAAAGCCAUGGGAGAAUCUAGGAGGAAUAUGGGUCUCCAAGUCCUUGAGGCAUCAGUCUUUGAUGAAGAGACAUGUUCAAUGUGACUGACAGGCCCCCUGGAGAAGCACCUGCCAACACAGACUGGAUCCAGUGUGAUAAAUGUGACCGGUGGUUCCAUGCCCUCUGCUUGACCAUGGAACCCUGGACACUUAAAGAGCUCAAGCAAAAGCAAUGGCUGUGUGUGCUGUGCAAAUAAAUAUUUUAC